rnacentral:rRNA from 1 species
AUUGAACGCUGGCGGCAGGCCUAACACAUGCAAGUCGAGCGGAUGAGUGGAGCUUGCUCCAUGAUUCAGCGGCGGACGGGUGAGUAAUGCCUAGGAAUCUGCCUGGUAGUGGGGGACAACGUUUCGAAAGGAACGCUAAUACCGCAUACGUCCUACGGGAGAAAGCAGGGGACCUUCGGGCCUUGCGCUACCAGAUGAGCCUAGGUCGGAUUAGCUAGUUGGUGAGGUAAAGGCUCACCAAGGCGACGAUCCGUAACUGGUCUGAGAGGAUGAUCAGUCACACUGGAACUGAGACACGGUCCAGACUCCUACGGGAGGCAGCAGUGGGGAAUAUUGGACAAUGGGCGAAAGCCUGAUCCAGCCAUGCCGCGUGUGUGAAGAAGGUCUUCGGAUUGUAAAGCACUUUAAGUUGGGAGGAAGGGCAGUAAGUUAAUACCUUGCUGUUUUGACGUUACCGACAGAAUAAGCACCGGCUAACUUCGUGCCAGCAGCCGCCGCAGUAA